AGCUGCGUGGUGAGCACAGAGCGAACUAUUCUUUCGCCUUUUACUAAAGAAUACCGUGUGCACGCCACAAUUUGCAGCAUACGCUAAUUUUUGAGGGUGUUCUCUUAAUAGAGGACU
rnacentral:snRNA from 1 species